rnacentral:lncRNA from 1 species
CGCAUUAGUUUCGCUUCCCCACCCGCCAUUUCUAAAAAGACCCGAAGGAGCUCAUUGCCUUCUUGAAUUAUGCAGAAACGGGCAGCGUGGAGGUCAUGUCAUUCAUUUUGUUGGAAAGGGGAGAAAUUGUGCUUUACAAUGGUAUUGACAUUACAGUUGAUCUGGAAGUAUUAUGUUUUUGGGGCACUAAAAUAAGGUCAAUUGCAUGUACAAAAGUGAGUGAAUUUACAUUACAUUAUAUCAUCAUCAAUUCUCAAUCAGAUGAGAUACACAGCUAACCCAUAUUGAAUUUCAUUCAUUCAUAAAUGUGGACACUAAUUAUUGUUAAUAUUCCAAUUCUCUUGGCCCUCCAUUCCCAAACCGGAAGCCCCUUGUCCUCAGCAGGAAAGACCAGGAAAAAGUGUUGGCUUAAGGUACAACUUCCUAUUGAGGAAAUAUCUGCCACCCCCAGCAGUUCAGCUGUAGUCACAGCAGUCCUCUGCUGUGGUAUUUGAUUUACCAGCUGCACCAGUUCCUACUACACUGGCCAUGAAGGGAGAUGCUUUUGAUGAUUCCCAGAUGGAUACAGAUCUGCCAUGCACUCCACCGCUGCCUGACAACCUCACCCAGAAGUACAUACACUGGGCCUAUCAAGACUGACAAAGCAGAAAUGGGUGGCUGACAAGGAAAAAUAAAACAUGUACCUAC